GGCUAGUUAGCUCAGUUGGUUAGAGCGUGGUGCUGGUGACACCAAGGUUGUUGGUUCAAUCCCCACAUGGGCCC